UUAGAAUUGUAUAAUGAGUUCUGGGUCUGAGAAGUGACCUGUGUCAGUUCCAGACCAAAGCAGUUUCAGAAAAGGACAUUAUUGAACACAUUGAUGGAAUUCUGGUAAGACCUGUAGUUUAGUUAGUAAUAUUGUACCAAAGUAAUUUUUAUUUUAAGUUUAAAACAAGGUAUGCCUAAUAAUGUUAGAGUUAGUAAUGGUAGUUAUUAGUAUUGGGAGUAUUGGCAGCAGCAAAAGAGUAACUCCUAAGUUCCAGACACUGCAAAGUACAACAUGGAAAUUAUAUUUUUAAAUUCUAACGUACAUCAACCCUAUGAGGAUUUCUGGUCCUAUGUUGAACAAAAGUGGUGAGAGUGGACAUCUUUGUCUUAUUCCAGACCUUAGGGGAAAGCUAUUCUUCACCAGUUCUUCACCAUUGAGAAUGAUGUUCACUGAGUUUUUCACAGACAGCCAUUAUUCUUGAGAUUACCUAUCUAGUGAAUACUGGCUGUGAUUGAGUUCUAACUUAGGGAAAUGAUUGCCAUAAGAAAGAACCGACGAAGGGUGCUAUUUUAGAAAAAAUCAAGAUUCAGGAUGAGUACAUGGAGGUGGAGCUCAACUCAUCGUGUUGGAAGUCUGGGACAACCACUUCAUGUGAUUAUCACAUAGUUGAAUGAGGCCACAGUCAUAGGAUCAACCUCCAUAUAAAGGUAGGAAACCCAAUAAACCAGAUUGAAUAAGCAGAAGGCAGUGGGGAAGAAGAUCCGUGCAUAUGAGUCCAUUUUGGCGAUACGAAUGUGUAUCCUCCCGUGUCUCCAAGCUCCUGUUCGGCAAUCUUCAAAACAGCAGAAGAAACUGGCACAGUCCUUGCCAUCCAGACACUCAUACCCAUAUUCUUCAUCUCUCUCUUGAAGCAUCUCUACUUGAAGUUUGGUGGCAAGAUGAAGUCAUCUUACCUUUUCCCAAAUCACGAAAAUCAAUCCAAGUUGGUAACUGUAUAAAUUAUGAACAUCAACCAUCAUCAUCACUAUUAAUGGGUGCCGUAUUCCACCAAAGCAGAGAAGACGAAGAUGAAGCAAACAGACACAAAGAGAUCCAUUGCUGUAACAUAGGAGACCUUGGGGAGUGACUUCCGGGCAAUAGUGCUGAGGGUGGUCAUUGUCAGGACAGUGGUGAUACCUGAAAAAAGAUUAUUAUAGAAAGAGAGAAGAUGGUGUUGUAGAAGGAUCCUGAGCUCACCACUCCCACAGCUAUACUGAGGUGUAACAACUACAUAUAUUGCAACUCACUCUGAAAAUGACCUGAAGAUUGGCAGAACAUAUCUUCUGUAACAAGUAACAUCAUAAAAAGAAAGCCACAUCAAGAAGGGUAGGAGGGAAGAGGCAUGGUUAGGAACCAAAGUACUGCUGUGACUACCCAGAAGUGGGAGGGAUAGGACAAGCAUGGAGGCACAACGGGCUGGGCACCCCCAUCCCUGGUUGCCUGCACUGAGAUGAGCUCCCAUAAUGUCUGGCUUUAAAAAUUAGCAGGACCUAACUCCAGGAGAGCCAGAAGGUCAUAGGAAACCAAGUCUCCACUUUUAAUUGAAGAGCCAGCAUGCUAUAUUACUCACUGUGUAUGUCUGCACAGAAGAACCAGUUUGGUGAAAAAAACUUGAACACAGAAAGAAUAAGGAAUCUGUCCAAGAUAGAAAGUGAAAAAGAUGAGAUACAAGCCUACAAAGUCUGACUUAAACACUACAUUCUGACCCACACUGUUAUAUUCCCUCUCUAUGAAUAUGUACUUAAUAUGCUGCAUGAAGCACCCACCAGCCACUUGGAAGCUAGUGUAUUUUCCUGAUUCAGGAUAAUAACGGAGUGUGGGUCUUCCAUAUUGUUAUUGUAGAAUCUUAGCAAUGGUCAAGUUUCUCAUCUACAAACUGGGAGUGGCAAGGGGAGGGGCAUACCUCAGCAUGUUCUUAUGAAGAUUAAAUUAUGUAAUUUUCAUUAAGUGUCAUUUCCUAGUAAAAUAUCAACAAAUGUAAGAUAUUUAGAGAAGAGUCUGUUUCUCGAACUAAAAAAACUUCACUCAAGUUGUUCAAUGCAAUAAUUUCUGGAGAAGUUAUUAACUAUUUGUAAUUAUACUUGAUAAUAUUUUGGGGGGAGAAUUUAAAAACUAAACUGGCCCCUUGGCCUUCACUCCACAUUCAGGCCUCAAGCCACCCUUGACCUAUGGAGGAGUGAAAAUGUCAUCAUUUACAGUAGAUACCAUAGACAAGUUUACUUAAGAAAAUCUAACAUGUAACUUAAACAUUUAUCUAGCAAGUUGGGAUGAUGGAAGUUCAUCACAGUCAUGUAAAAGAAGACUCAUGAAAAACCGCUUCAUGGUAUUUUCAGGUUUCUGGUUGGAGCCACAGGGAGUGAAAAGUGGGUGGCAGACGAGUGAUAGUUGUAACUGAUCCACCCACCAACAACAUGAUAGCUGGGGGUGGUUUUUAAGUCCAGUUUUGCUAAGGAAAGAAUUAGACUUACCUAGGUAAAUGAAAAAUAUGCAUAGCUUUUAUCAAUUCCUCCAGUCUUAGCAUCAAGUAAGCUUGCAGGCAUGCUAGCUUUUACUCUGAUUACUCAGGUGAAAAAUACCGACUGGUGUUUUUAUUGUUUCAUACAUCAACACUGAACCAUGAUUAAGGCUGACCAGCUACCACCUGUGUACCAAACUACAUUCAAGAGUUAGAAGCCCCGCGAUGACUUCUUCCCAUGCUCUUGUGGUCUGAGCUCAGAAAGCAGAGUCUGAGCCAUAUAGGUAUAUUUAUCUCACUCAUCCAAAACUUGGCUUUAUUCUGUGACAAGAAACUUUAGGUCCACAGGUGUGUAGGGUCAUCUGGAUUAACUCUAGAUUGUAAACACUGGAAAAGGUAAUGUGAUCACACAUUAGAAUCAUCUGGGGAUUUCUUUUUUUUCUUUUUUAAACCUGAUAUGCAAGCCAAGCUCUCAAAAUUUAAAUAAACAUCUUCUGGGAUUGGACUGAGGCAGCCAUAUAAAUGUGCAGUUGAAUUUAAGACACACUGAUCUAGAGAAGGGAGACAGCAUAGUUAACACAGAGAAGCAAUCUCAGCUGCCUACCUUUCCCCACAACUGGCCUUCAACAAGGGCUCACACACACAGCAAAUCUAGGCCUCAUUAACCAAGGUGUAGAUGGACUACCCGUUGGGAGUGUGACCUUGAGAAUGUCAUUUAACCUUGUACCACCUCUGCUUCCUUAGCCCUACAAAAAGAAUGUGGUAAUAUUUUUUAUUAUCACUACGACUUCUAUAUGUAGUUGUGAAGAAUAGAUAUAUUAAACAUGUGUGACGUAUAGUAAAAGAUCAACAAACAGGAGCACCUAUCUGUUACUUGUUCAGGGGCCUCUCCCUCAUUCCUCAUUCGCUAGCUCACUCACCUUGAUCCUCUCUCCUACAGAGGUCUCUUGCAGUGCCCUCGCUUAAUGACUGGUUGAAAUGAAUUACCAAAGUAGCCUUAAGAGGGGUUUUGACCAGCAGAAUUCUGGACUUCAAGAGAAAAGACUGAUUUGAAAAUCUUUUCCUUAAAAUAUUUUUGGUAUGGGUAGAUUGGAAUGUAUUAAUGCAUUUGUUGCACCCAUUCAUAAGAGCAUACAUUACUUGAAUAAUCAAUGAGGUACCAGCUAUGUGCCAGGCACUAUACUGGGAAUGAAAAAAAAAAUCUACAUUAUGAUGUGAGAGACAGACAUAUAAGCUUAUAAUGCAAUACAUUCUACUCACAGUGACAAUUGUCCUAAAGUAAUAGGCUCGACAUACUUUGGGUUUGUUUCAGCUGGUAGCAUUAAACUAGAUAUUCUAAUUGUUGAAUAGGACUUAUAACAAUGUACCGCAAAUAACAGAAAAAUCCAAACAAAAUUAUUUUGAAACAGAUGGGAGACUAAAUUAGGUUUGGAAGAGGACAAACAUGCAAAUGAUGCCUUAUUCCCAGCAAUCUCUUUUGCCCUCAGUUUUAAUAAUCUGGUUCAAAGCAUUUUGUCAGAAAAUGAUAUAUAGUUGACCCUUGAACUACAUGGGUUUGAAUUACAUGGGUCCACUUAUAUGCAAAUUUUUUCAAUAAAUAAAGCACAGUACAAUAAAUGUAUUUUCUCUUCCUUA